GGAGAGGUGUCCGAGUGGUUGAAGGAGCACGCUUGGAAAGCGUGUAGGCCCGCAAGGGUCUCGAGGGUUCGAAUCCCUCUCUCUCCGCCA
rnacentral:tRNA from 1 species